AACUCUACAAAUAUCUGGACUCUUGUCACGAAAACGCAGCGAAAUGCGAUGGCUAAUGUGAAUUGCACUAUCUAGUGGAUCAUCCAAUUUUUUGUUUAGUUUCAUCAAAAGCCACGUGUUCACAUUUAACAAAGGGCGA
rnacentral:rRNA from 1 species